CUUUCUGAAAACAUUUGCAUUUUUCUAAAUAUAAGAUACAGCAAGAACCAGUAAACCAGAGCUUUGUACACAGAUCAUAGAGUAUGGGUGAGCUGGGCAUAUAGACCGUUUCAUUCAUUUUGGGAAGUAUCAGGACACAGAGUGGCAGUAGUCAAUCUGGCAUUUUGAAGCUUCUACUUAAUUUAAUUUUACUUUGGGCUGAUUCCAGCACAGUUCAACACCAAAUCAAUCCAGUUUGGCAAAUCCAUUCCUUUCUCGUAUAAAACCCAGGAGUGAUUCCACCAAUUUUCAAACAAAUAUUGAUUAAAUAUUUUAAAGCUUUUCUUCCUCCAUGAGAAUGUAUUCCUUACAGGUCAGCGCCAGUGGAAAGGGGAAUAAGGGGGAAUGGGGAUUUGAUUUUGAUUUACAAGACCUGCAAUCAUAAUAUGCCAACUGGGUUGUAAAAUCAUCUGUGAGCCCAUCCCGGAGGCAAACUUGAUUCAACACUUCUCAGCAUCCCACCACAAACCUUCUCAAAUACAGCCCUUAUGACUUUCAACAGAAUACAGUGCUGGGGUUGGCGAAGGACUGAGGGAAACAGGAUCCUGGAAACUGCCAGCCAGUGUGAUGGCUGCUGUAAUUUGAAUCCAGCUUGACUGGCCCUUUUGUGCAGGUUUCCUUGGACACCAGAAACAGGCAGUGUUCACACACACAUAUACAGACGCACAGGCGACAGCCACUGCACGAACUCUAGUUAUUGCUCUGGGGCCAUGAGGGGGUUUCUAACCACACAGGAGCAGAAUGGAUGGAGGGAACUGGUUAACAAGGAAGCCUUCUGCAGAGUCGGCUGGAAAGCCAAAUAUGGGUCCAAAUACCCUCGACGGGUGCCCGACUAUAGGAUCUCUCAGAGGAAGUGCUUCUUGCCUGCUAUCUGCCCUCCAGGUGAUGGUGGGAACCUUUCUACCUGUGAAGAAAUACCUGUGCAAAAGAAGGAAGAAAGGAAGUUACCAGAAAGAGAAGAUGAUCCCCCUCUUCCAGAGCCUCUGCCCGAGAUGAGGGCCCCAACCCCGCAGACAGUGCAGUUGCUGUACCAGGGCUUCUCCCAUGAGGGCAAAGGCAGGCAACACUAUCUCAAAGAGAGGACGAGGAAGAGCCCCGAGGAAAAGUUCAGUUACCCCUUGUUAUCAUCAUGGGACUAUGGCUGGCGCUUAGGAGAUGCUGUUAAAGACAUCAGAACCCCAAUUUAUGGCAAAUCCAGAAUUGUAAAGGAUACUUUCUACAUCAAUAAUGGAAUUUUCCAUCAUCCUUCAAAAACUGACAAGCUCUCAUGAAUAUUAAUGCUGGUUGAAAUGUGGAUUUUUUUUGUACAAUUCUGCUUUCUGAUGGAUAUUUGUUGUGCUAUAUGUGAGCUCUUUGAGUUUGCCAUAGAUGUAAUCAUAUUUGGAAUAGACACAUAAAAAUAAAGAGGGUUAUUUGUAAUUUCAAGAGUUCUUCUGCAUUAAUGACUAAAAUGUAUAGCCCACCUCAUAAUUACUUUUUCAGAUUUUAAAAAAGUCUUGAUCUCACAAGAUAGGAAAACAUCAAACAUCCGGGUGUCCCGUGGUCAACGUCCUUGCAGACAGCCAAUUGUCUCACCCCAGAAGCGAUUUGCAGUUUCUCAAGUAGUUCCUGACACAUAUACAAAAAAAAUCUCUUUGUAAUAUAUACCUGCCAAGAUCCUGUAUUGUGGGCAGCAAUGCAGAACUUUACAACAGUGGAGCUACAUCACUGACAUGAUUUGCAACCAUGUUAGACAACUGUGAUGAUGCGCAAGAGGCCACCAUACAAGGUAUCCUGUUAUGCAACAGUGGCUCCCACCAAACAACAGGGCACCAUGCAAGAUGUCCUGCUGCCCAGUGGGGGAUCUCACUAUACAACCAGGCACUGUGGAAAUUGGGGAUACUGUCACAGUGGGGUGGAGAGGACCCAUGACUUUCCAUUGACCUUCAUUUUGAACUAUCAGUUCUCCACGACUCUGUUGGGGACUGUUGCCCACUCUCUCCUAGCACUGUGUCAUUGCAUAAGUGCAGCUUAUUCUGCGAAGUGCCAUACUGUUGUACAUCAUGACCAUGCAUAACAGCCACACUGCUUGCUUAUUUAUGCGAUAGCCCUGAUGAUACUCACCUCUUGGCCAAAUGACCUUUGUGCAGUGUUAUAAUCCAAACUGAUGCAACUGUAAAUUAGUUUAUGAUUUCAUUAUGAUGUCAGCCAACACUGCUUGUGCAACAGGGGCGUGGGCAUAUGCCAUUUGCCUAAAGUCCCUCUGGGGGAAUCUUCUAUGCCAACGUGGACAACUUGGGCAGGUCUAGGAAUGAAUUCCUGGCUGGGAACCCACUGCUGACUAAACUCUCACCACUGCUAUGUUGUUGAAAUUAGGCAGAAAAUGUUGCCACCAGAUUCGGGUAGCAGACCAGAAACACUACUUUUUAUGGUUUUUGGUGGGAUUUUUUUUAAAUAAACAAACAUUAAAAUCAGCAUUUCCUGCUUUUUUUUUUUUAAAAGGGAUUGAUUCUUGGUUUCCUGGUAAAUGUCAUCAGUAUGCUUUUGGGGACUACAUGUUCUGUCCAUCACCGUUGCAUCUUAACGCUUUUCAUAUUAUUUAUAUUGCU
rnacentral:lncRNA from 11 species